rnacentral:rRNA from 1 species
AUGGUGAUCGGCGAUUUCAACCUGAUUAAGAAUUCUGAAGAUAAAAACAAUGGUAGAAUUAACCGUAGAUGGAUGAACAACUUCAGACGCACCCUCAAUAGAUCGACUUUGCAUGAGAUUCAGCUGAUUGGGCGUCAUUACAUGUGGAGCAAUGAGCAAGACCCGCCUACGCUUGUGAGGUUAGACCGCGAAUUUUGCAAUAUGGAGUGGGAACUUCUGUUCCCAGGUGCAAAACUGCUGACCCAGUCGUCCGCCAUCUCGGACCAUUGCCCCGUCCUCCUAGUAAAUGAUGUGAUAACUAAAAUGAACAGAAGAUUCCGCUUUGAAGCAUAUUGGCAAUAUAUCCAUGGUUUCCAGGAGGUUGUCAACCAGUCCUGGACCCAACCUGUGGGGGGCGCCUGCCCCAUCACUAGUUUCAACUUCAAACUACACCGGCUCAGCAAGGACCUGUGUGUUUGGAGCAAAACUCUCGUUGGAGACAUCCAAAAACAGCUGCCGAUGGUUAACGAAAUAAUUCUGCAGCUAGACACAGCGCACGACCACAGGGCUCUCAGUUCAGAGGAGAAGGAGCUAAGGUCAAAGCUGAAAGCUAGAUCGCUGGGGCUGGCCGUCCUCCUGAAAAUCAAGCAGAGGCAGAGAAGCAAAGUACUCGGGCUUAAAGCCGGCGAUGCCAAUACGAAAUAUUUCUAA